CCUACGGGAGGCUGCAGUGGGGAAUAUUGCACAAUGGGGGAAACCCUGAUGCAGCGACGCCGCGUGAAGGAAGAAGUAUUUCGGUAUGUAAACUUCUAUCAGCAGGGAAGAAAAUGACGGUACCUGACCAAGAAGCCCCGGCUAACUACGUGCCAGCAGCCGCGGUAACACGUAGGGGGCGAGCGUUAUCCGGAUUUACUGGGCGUAAAGGGAGCGUAGGCGGUUUAGCAAGUCAGAAGUGAAAGCCCGGGGCUCAACUCCGGGACUGCUUUUGAAACUGUUGGACUAGAUUGCAGGAGAGGUAAGUGGAAUUCCUGGUGUAGCGGUGAAAUGCGUAGAUAUUAGGAGGAACACCAGUGGCGAAGGCGGCUUACUGGACUGUAAAUGACGCUGAGGCUCGAAAGCGUGGGGAGCGAACAGGAUUAGAUACCCCGGUAGUC
rnacentral:rRNA from 1 species